rnacentral:rRNA from 1 species
UACGUAGGGUGCAAGCGUUGUCCGGAAUUAUUGGGCGUAAAGAGCUCGUAGGCGGUUUGUUGCGUCGGCUGUGAAAUCCCGAGGCUCAACCUCGGGUCUGCAGUCGAUACGAGCAAACUAGAGUGUUGCAGGGGAGACUGGAAUUCCUGGUGUAGCGGUGAAAUGCGCAGAUAUCAGGAGGAACACCGGUGGCGAAGGCGGGUCUCUGGGACGGUAUUGACGCUGAGACGCGAAAGCGUGGGGAGCAAACAGG